rnacentral:snRNA from 1 species
AGAUGUAAGGAUGAUCUGGCAGAGACAUCUGUCACUGUAUUUAUCACCAGGGUUGAUUCAGCUGACCUUGCUGGCUAGAUGUAUGUCCCCUCCUCCCUCACUGCCCCACGUGUGUCCCUCCUCAGGCUGCACACGUGGUGGAUAAAAACUACCUUCCCAGAUAGAGGACUGUUCAAGGGCAUAUGAAUAACUAUGCGUCCCUGCUGGAACCCAAACAAGCUUUAGAGCAUUAUUUUCCUCUGAGAAAUUGAGUCUGGAUAUAAUACUGUGAAGGUUACACCUCAGAAAAAUUUAGUUUUACAUACUUUC